rnacentral:rRNA from 1 species
AUUGAACGCUGGCGGCAGGCCUAAUACAUGCAAGUCGAGCGGAUGAAGGGAGCUUGCUCCUGGAUUCAGCGGCGGACGGGUGAGUAAUGCCUAGGAAUCUGCCUGGUAGUGGGGGAUAACGUCCGGAAACGGGCGCUAAUACCGCAUACGUCCUGAGGGAGAAAGUGGGGGAUCUUCGGACCUCACGCUAUCAGAUGAGCCUAGGUCGGAUUAGCUAGUUGGUGGGGUAAAGGCCUACCAAGGCGACGAUCCGUAACUGGUCUGAGAGGAUGAUCAGUCACACUGGAACUGGGACACGGUCCAGACUCCUACGGGAGGCAGCAGUGGGGAAUAUUGGACAGUGGGCGAAAGCCUGAUCCAGCCAUGCCGCGUGUGUGAAGAAGGUCUUCGGAUUGUAAAGCACUUUAAGUUGGGAGGAAGGGCAGUAAGUUAAUACCUUGCUGUUUUGACGUUACCAACAGAAUAAGCACCGGCUAACUUCGUG